UACGUAGGGUGCAAGCGUUGUUCGGAUUCAUUGGGCGUAAAGGGUGCGUAGGCGGCGCGGUAAGUCGGGUGUGAAAUCUCGGAGCUUAACUCCGAAACUGCAUUCGAUACUGCCGUGCUUGAGGACUGGAGAGGAGACUGGAAUUUACGGUGUAGCGGUGAAAUGCGUAGAUAUCGUAAGGAAGACCAGUGGCGAAGGCGGGUCUCUGGACAGUUCCUGACGCUGAGGCACGAAGGCCAGGGGAGCAAACGGG
rnacentral:rRNA from 1 species